rnacentral:rRNA from 2 species
UGGCGGCCUUAGCGCGGUGGUCCCACCUGACCCCAUGCCGAACUCAGAAGUGAAACGCCGUAGCGCCGAUGGUAGUGUGGGGUUUCCCCAUGCGAGAGUAGGGAACUGCCA